GUGCUCGCUUCGGCAGCACAUAGACUAAAAUUGGAAUGAUACAGAAAAAAUUAGCAUGGCCCCUGCGCAAGGAUGACCCAACGGAAAGCACUGUCCUUUCUU